GUGCUCGCCUCGGCAGCACUUAUACUAAAAUUGGAACCAUACAGAGAAGAUUAGCAUGGCCCCUGCACAAGGAUGACACGCAAAUUCGUGAAGCAUUCCAUAUUUUU
ensembl:snRNA U6 U6 spliceosomal RNA